rnacentral:rRNA from 1 species
AAUUCGAUUGAGUUUGAUCAUGGCUCAGGACGAACGCUGGCGGCGUGCCUAAUGCAUGCAAGUCGCACGGCUGGGCUUCGGCCCGGUAGUGGCGAACGGCUGAGGAACACGUGGGGUACCUACCCCUGAGUGGGGGACAACCCGGCGAAAGCCAGGCUAAUCCCGCAUACGCUCUGCGGAGCAAAGCGGCAACGCGCUCAGGAAUGGCCCUGCGGCCCAUCAGGUCGUUGGCGGGGUAACGGCCCACCAAGCCGAUGACGGGUCGCUGGUCUGUGAGGACGACCAGCCAGACUGGGACUGCGACACGGCCCAGACUCCUACGGGAGGCAGCAACAAGGAAUUUUCGGCAAUGGGCGCAAGCCUGACCGAGCAACGCCGCGUGCAGGAUGACGGCUUUCGGGUUGUAAACUGCUUUUGCCAGGGAGGAUACGGACAGUACCUGGCGAAUCAGCCCCGGCUAACUCUGUGCCAGCAGCCGCGGUAAUACAGAGGGGGCAAGCGUUGUCCGGAUUGACUGGGCGUAAAGCGCACGCAGGUGGGUGCUUAAGACGGAUGUGAAAUCGACGGGCUUAACCCGUCGCCGCCAUUCGUGACUGGGGGCCUGGAGGUCGGCAGAGGUGGGUGGAAUUGCCAGUGUAGCAGUGAAAUGCGUAGAGCUUGGCAGGAACACCGAGGGGAAACCCAGCCCACUGGGCCGAAUCUGACACUGAGGUGCGACAGCGUGGGGAGCCAACAGGAUUAGAUACCC